rnacentral:rRNA from 1 species
CCGGCUAACUCCGUGCCAGCAGCCGCGGUAAAACGGGGGAUGCAAGUGUUAUCCGGAAUUAUUGGGCGUAAAGCGUUUGUAGGUUGUUUAAAUAGUCUAUUGUUAAAUCUUAAAGCUUAACUUUAAAAAAACAAUAGAAACGCUUAAACUUGAGUAUAUUAUAGGUUUAUGGAAUUUUUAGUGAAGCGGUAAAAUGCGCAGAUAUUAAGAGGAACAUCAGUGGCGAAAGCGAUUUACUAGAUUAAAACUGACAUUUAGAAACGAGAGCUAAGGGAGCAAAUGGGAUUAGAUACCCCAGUAGUCUUAGCUGUAAACUAUGGAUAUUAAAAAAUACUUAUUUGCAUUGAUUUCUAUAGGUAUUUUUAAAGCUAACGCGUAAAAUAUCCCGCCUGGGAAGUACGCUCGCAAGAGUAAAACUUAAAGGAAUUGACGUGGGUUUGCACAAGCGGUGGAGCAUGUGGUUUAAUUUGAUGCAAC